rnacentral:rRNA from 1 species
UACGUAGGGUGCGAGCGUUAAUCGGAAUUAUUGGGCGUAAAGCGCGCGCAGGCGGUCCUUUAAGUCUGAUGUGAAAGCCCACGGCUCAACCGUGGAGGGUCAUUGGAAACUGGGGGACUUGAGUGCAGAAGAGGAGAGUGGAAUUCCACGUGUAGCGGUGAAAUGCGUAGAGAUGUGGAGGAACACCAGUGGCGAAGGCGACUCUCUGGUCUGUAACUGACGCUGAGGCGCGAAAGCGUGGGGAGCAAACAGG